GUGAAUCAUCGAAUCUUUGAACGCAAAUUGCACUCUCCUCUGAGAGUAUGCCUGUUUGAGGUUCAGCCUCUAAAAAAUCGACAUCCUUGCUGUUUCGCGGUGUCUUUCGUCGGCAAUUGGGUCAUCUUAAAUCCUUUUGUUUUAAUCGCCUUAAAAUUUUCUUUUUGUUCCUUGAGCGUUUCUAUGAUCUAUUUCUUUACACGUUUAAGGUAUCGAUUUUUCCUAGACGUUACCAUCAUAUCGGA
rnacentral:misc_RNA from 1 species